CGAAGGUGGCAAGCGUUGUUCGGAUUUACUGGGCGUACAGGGAGCGUAGGCGGUUGGAUAAGCCCUCCGUGAAAUCUCCAGGCUUAACCUGGAAAGUGCAGAGGGGACUGUUCAGCUAGAGGAUGGGAGAGGAGCGGGCGGAAUUCCCGGUGUAGCGGUGAAAUGCGUAGAGAUCGGGAGGAAGGCCGGUGGCGAAGGCGGCGCUCUGGAACAUUUCUGACGCUGAGGCUCGAAAGCGUGGGGAGCAAACAGGAUUAGAUACCCUGGUAGUCCACGCCUUAAACGAUGGAUACUAAGUGUCGGCGGGUUACCGCCGGUGCCGCAGCUAACGCAGUAAGUAUCCCGCCUGGGAAGUACGGCCGCAAGGUUG
rnacentral:rRNA from 1 species